GCGCCGCCCCCCCGCCCUCGCACCGCUUUGAGGUCCAGCACGCCGUCCUUGGCCUCCUGCAGCAGCGACACGAACUUGGUGGCCAGGCACAGGACACGCUGGCCAGGGGCACAGGGCACAGUUACCAUCGACUAAAGGCAGAGAAGCUUUAAAGUCCGUACUGCAUGAGAAUUCCGGGGAUGCACGUAAAGAAGAGCAGAGCCGAGGCACCCAUCCCACAGGAGCUCCGUACCCUGGGAGUGCACACGGGAGCUGUUCCUGCACGCGGACAGCACGUUCGGGACAACGUGCGCGGAAACUCGCUCUCUCUGCACCUGCAUCACAGUCCUCCUGGUCUCAAGUAACAAGAAUUUCUUGAUUCCGUACUCGGUGUUGAUUGAAACAGAUAAUUCUCUAGUCGGGAAAUGCAAACAAAGUCUAACAAAGGGAUUGAUUUUAAAUUGUCAUGAUUAAUGCACGAGAACGUGCCUUGCAUCUGACAGGGUAUUCAAUUGCUUCACCCGAAGUGUAGCUUGGUCAAAUAAUAAGCAAAGAACAAAGAAGUGCCCCAGGAAACACUUGAUCAACAUGACAGAAAAGCACUCUGAAGUGGUGUGAGUUUUCUGCACCAAUGAUGUCCAUGAAAGUACUAUUGAACAGCAUUCCAGGUGCAAGAGUUCUUCCUGAUGUGCUGCCAACACUGACUCAAGUUGUUUUCUGAAAGCAUUAUCCAUUUUAUGAAGCUUUUCCACAGCAAUCCUAAAAAAAGAUUGAAAAAAAAAUUACAGUCCUGAAAACAGUUGAAGUAUUUUGCUUUGUCCAACUCUGCCUUAGAUAAGGUUUUAAUAACUUAAGCAUGAAGACACAUAUAUUGGCAGAAGUGUUCUGUUUUCUCAAGCACAUGUUCUAGCUUUAUGCAGUGUGUUCAGAACUUCUGGCAUUGUCUUAGAACAGGCAUUUAAUCACUAGCAAAGGAUAGGAAGAUUAGGGCUUGCUACUGUCAACAUGGCUGAGAACUCCACCUGUUUUCAAACAUCUCCUUACUAUGCUUUUGGUUUCCAAGAAGUGAAUGAACUGUGUGAUUCUGUGAAUGACCUGUGAGCCUGUGUCUCACAGAAAUAGAAAAGUGUCUCCUUCACCGCAAAGAAGCAUUUCUUUAACUCCAAGAAAAUUCUGCUUUUAGGGGAUAAUUCUUACAUAUGUAGGAACAACAAACAAGGCAAAUUUAUACAAUUAAUUUACAACAAAAUUCUGAAACAAACCAGAAUUAUUUAGAACAAAAAUUUCAGUUUCACUAUUGAUCUUCUAACAAUACCUAACCCCAAUACUAUUGACCAUUUGAGGUGGUUUGUUUUGUUUGGCUUUUUUGCUAUUGUUAUUUGUUGUGGUUCUGUUUUUUUCUUUUUAUGUAGUCUUAUUAACUAGCUGGUAUCUUCUCAAGAAUAGUUAGGAGGAUGCAAGAAAAACAUGAGAAGGGGGCCAAAGAAUAAAAUAAAAAUGACAGUAAGAAUCUAAACU